AGGUUAGUGAUCUUUAUCUUAAAGGUCACAACAAUAAAGAACAGUGAUGGAGGGACUCAGUCCUAACCCAUUAAANGNGCGGACGACGGAAGGAAUCUACACCAUCGGCAAAGAGUCCGAGGGAGAGGCCUUAGCUUGGGAUUAAGGGGCAAUGG
rnacentral:rRNA from 1 species